AUGAAUUACUCUACCGCGUCGUUUCGAACGUAAUUUCCACUGUUCUUAUGCAGAUAUGAGCCAACAGCAAAGAACAGCUGCUCUUUUAAGGCAGGUAGCAGAUUUGUUGAAUGUCAACACAUGUGACAGUAGUACACAAUACCAGCACCUGCACCAGUAACCUCUGUCAGUAGCACUAAUGCUUCGAAGGCAAUUUUUGCACCCGACAGUAAAAAGAAGGAGGCAUGAACAUGCAAAUACCGGAACUGUGGCAGUGCCAGAACUGGACUAUUUCACCCAGUUGUAAUCAGGAGCUAGACGUUACCAGGGAGAGACACCAGCACAAAGGUGAAUCAGAUUAACUGGAUCUACAAGCAGCUUAAGAGAAACCUUCAGGGACCAGUCUAAAUGUUCUGAUAAUGAUAAUAGAGUGGCAUGCUUGGCAUGCUUAAGCUCAACAUAAUAUUAGAGAUUUUGAUUUAUUUCACAUUAUUUUACUUAUCUUGCAAUGAUUUUACAAGCAUCUUUUUCACACAUCUUGUAGAUUGGUCAGCAGAUAUGUUCUUGCUAGAUUUCAAUGGUGUAGUUUUUUAGUAAAAAUGCCUUUCUAUUUUGUUGUGCUGAAAUUUAGAUCUUAGUUAUAAUAUGUUUGCAGUAAACAGCCUCGGUUAAGUAGACCUGGUACAUGUAUUCAAUCAAAUUGAGUAGCGU